CGCCCACUAGCUAGCCCCCCAAACCAAAAACAACACACCAAUAUAAAUAUCCCUAAAUGCACUAACACCCGCAUAAAACAAACCAUUUUUCCCCCUUAGUAUGGGCGACAGAAAAGGAACCGUGGCGCAAUAGAGAAAGUACCGCAAGGGAACGCUGAAAGAGAAAUGAAACAACUCAGUCAAGCUAAAAAAAGCAGAGAUUUAAGCUCGUACCUUUUGCAUCAUGAUUUAGCCAGUAAAACCCAAGCAAAGAGCCCUUUAGUUUGGUUUCCCGAAACUAAGUGAGCUACUCCAAGACAGCCUAUUAAUAGGGCAAACCCGUCCCUGUGGCAAAAGGGUGGGAAGAGCUUUGAGUAGAGGUGACAAACCUACCGAACUUAGUUAUAGCUGGUUGCCUGAGAAUUGAAUAGAAGUUCAGCCUCUCGGCUUCUUCCCUCACCCUCGUCCGACCCCCCUCUGACACCUUAAGAAACCGC
rnacentral:rRNA from 1 species